AAUCGAAUAAUUAAAGGAUUAGUGGACUAAAUUGGACGAAAGAAAAGUUAGAAGUUAGAGGUUGAGGAGGUGGCAAACUCAAGGACUAAAGGAGACUUUUGUCUCAUUUAUCUAAGCCACUUGCAUAUGAGUUUAAACUCAGCAAGCUUAUCAUUUUCAGCUCCCAAAUUUCGUACUCCAUCCUUUCUCCAUGGAAGAUCAUCAACCAAAUUUCAAAGGAGCACAACUUCUUCGUUUCUCAACGAAAUUGGACGAUUCUUGUGGCCAUGGAACGAGAAGAAGGAGAGCUACUGAUCUAGCCCUAUUGUUCAAGGUGUUCUUGAGUUGAAUUGAAGCAAAGUUGAUGGUGAAUUUGAGCUUGAAGUGUUUGGCCAUGAUCAACAAUCCAAGGUGUUCUUGAGUUGAAUUGAAGCAAAGUUGAUGGUGAAUUUGAGCUUGAAGUGUUUGGCCAUGAUCAACAAUCCAAGACUCGACGAAGCGACUAUCGACAAGGCUUGAGGGGAACGGAUCGAGAUGUCUUCGUGUUUAUUUAAAGAUAUUGGAUAGCAAGUGGUGAGUACACUUUAAAUUACUCGCUAAUAUUCAUAAAGCUACGUAUUUUAAUACGAAAAGCUAUAUGAAUAUUUAUAUAUCUGAAAAGUUUGUUUUUAAAUUGUAUGCGUAUGUAUGUUUUGAAAAUGAUGUUUUAUCGUAAUGUAUUAAUUUGAUAAUAACAUAAAUGUUAAGGUACCGGGGAUGGGUAAAGUAAAAUAACGUAAAUUGAACCAAAUACAAAUAAGAAAAGUACAGUACAUUCCUAUAUGUACUAAUAAAUCGAAUAUCGAAUAAUAUACAAGUAUCGGAUCAAAUAUGAAUAAAGAAAUAUAGUACAUUCCGAUAUGUACUAUCAAACAUAAUAAAUACCCAUACGUGCGUGUGUUAUAGAUGUAUGCUUGUAGAUUGUAAUGUGCAUGCCAUGGUCCAUAAAGGAUCAAUAUAACAAAACGAAAAAUACAAAAACGUGAAAUGAGAAUUGUACUACGGUACACAAAAUAAUAAGAACUGAGAUACAAGGUUGAAUUCGGUAGAAUUAUCCCGGGACCUGUAUCUCAUCCAUUCUCGAUGAUAAUCCUCGGAACUCAUACGAAAUAAAAAGUAAGUGUGAUACAUCGAGAAUCAAUACGAAACAAGAUCGAGACACUAUGUGAACAAACACUCCUAUUAAAUGUCAAUAGGAAUCAUAUGAAUCGACAAUUAAGUUCAAAAGACCUGCAGGGUGCAGAGUCCGAAUGUAGACACGAAGGUAACUCGGUUGAACUAUCUCGGGACCCGUGUCUAAGGAGUAACUCGGUUGAAUUAUCUCGGGACUCCUAUCGAUCGUUUGGGAUUGAGAAAUGGUACAAGUAACUCGGUUGAAUUAUCUCGGGACUGUACCAUAUGGUUGAAGGUAACUCGGUUGAACUAUCUCGGGACCCAACCAUAAGGAUCAAGUCACAAGAGACUUGCCAAUGAUUUAAUUCGACUUAGAAUCAUGAUGAUAUAAACUAAGAUUUAAGAUUCUGUUGAAAACUAAUGCAACAAAACGAGAAAGAAAAAUAUCAACACCAUAAUAAGAAAUCGAAGAUGCCAAAUACGUAUAAACUAUAAGUUUAUGAAAUAAACAAAGAUUUAUGAAGGAAAGUAAAUAAAGUAUGCAAUAUGAUUUCAAAAGAGUAUUUUCUAUAUAUAAAAUGGGUUUUCAAAUGUUUUAACCCUUUAUGUGAUAUUGCGUGUAAUUUGGUGAACUCACUCAGUUUUAUACUGACCCCGUUGCUCCUCCCAUUUUUCAGGGAUGGUAUGAUAUGAUUUGAAGAGUUAAGCUUCCGAAGUUUUAAUUCUCGGAAGUCAUUUGUAUAAGAAGAAAAAGAAGGUUUUCAUUCUAGCGGUCCGCAGUAGUCUAGAUAUUUUAACUAGAAUUUUGUAUAACGCGUUUUUAACUCUGAUAUUAUUUGUAAAUGGGGUCACAUGUAUUUUAAUAUAUGAAAUAUGUUUUGAUUUGCGAAAAAAAUUUACACAGGUUUUUAGGCUUGCUACGGGAUUUGGAGCUACCA